AGAUAUACAUAGAAAGAGUGAGUGAGAAAGAAGUAGAUAUACAUAGAAAGAGAGAGAGAGAGAGAGAGAGAGAGAGAGAGAGAGAGAGAGAGAGAGAGAGAAAAGCUUGGCUUUAUCGUGAGCCAAUCCGAGCUGUGACCUUGAGGAGCUCUAGAAAGAGAGAUAUAUUUAGUCGUGAGCGGAUCGAGCUGGCUGCUGCCAUAGCCUGCUAGCACUCUUGCAUUAAUGUGUGCGUGUUGUAUGUGUAUGUGUAUGCGAUGUGUAACUGAGCUAUGUGAGCUGUGCCAUAGUAGAUAUAGCUGUUCUGUUGCUGUAGUUGCUCUCUCUAUGGAUAUAUAUAUAUAUACAUAGAUACCUAGUUGUCCCUCUAUAUGUGAGUUCUAACUUCUCUAGAGUCUUUCUUUCUUGCUCUUUCUCUAGAACGUAGAACAUAGAACGUAGAACGUAGAACCUUGCUGCUAAACGUGGAUAAUAACUUUGGAACAACCGCUAUACGUGUUUUUCAGAAGACACGCUUCCGUGAAUACGGGAUAUAUGUACUAUACGUGACACCUGAGAUAUAAAGAUGUGUAGUUACGUGCGCAUAUAUAUAUGUAUAUGUAUAUGAAUAUGGUAUAUUUGUUUUUAGUUGCCUUUGAGAUACGACGACGACAAUGACAACGACGACGACGACAACGACAACGACGACGAUACGGACGAGGAGUCAUGGGGUACUCAAACUUACUCGGCCCAAUUUCCGUGAAGCUCUCAAGCGUUACGAGGCCACUGGGCAUUCCUAAAUUACAGUUGGUACUUCCGCCACCUAGUAUCUCCUCUGUUAAUCUACAGGAUGUUCCAUGAACUCGACACAGAAGCUGAUACACGCUCGACGUAGAAAGGAGAACGGAGGAACGAGUGGGUGUGAGUUUCCGUUUAACCCUUUACACACGCGUUACACAUGAUAUGGCACGCGGUGAAGUGAGUCCCACGGAAGAGAAACGACGACAACGACGACGACGACGACGAUGAUGAUGAUGAUGACGAUGACGACGAUGGAUGUAGGGGCGGGUUUUUUAAAACCUCAUUCACGUAACACGAAGAGAUAUUUUAAUUAAAAUUUUUUUUAUUUAGAACCGCAAAUACAAAAAAUUUUUCAAAAUAAAUUAAUUCGUUAAAGGUGUAACAAGCUGUAUGAAAAAAUGAAGAAAUUUCAAUGAAAAAAAAAAAAAGAAAAAAAAAGUUUCAAUUAUUUAAAUAUCUAUAUAGAACGAAAGCAUUAUGAGGUCUCGCGAAUUACUUCUUUUCUGUUUUCUUUUUCUUCUCGAUUUAUUUCACCAAAUAUUCAAACCCUGUCGUCGUCCCCAUGUGUUUUUUCGGAAAACCGGAGUCCAAUAGAAAGCAACACAACGAGGACGACGGGCCGAUGCAACAGGCGGCCGAAGGUUCCGUUCUUUUACGACCGAAAGAGAAAGCAAGAGAAACGUAUAUCCCGAGAGUGAGAGUGAAAAACUCUGCGGGAUAGGACGAACGAACGAACGGAUACUCGAAUGGAUAUAGUGAGAAAGAGAGAUGGAAUACGAAAAAGAG